UCAUUUUGUGCCUACAAAAUUUACAGGUUCACUGCAAGUCUCGAUACAAAAAUCGAAAAUCGGAGGCUCCAUCCUAAUAAGAACUCUUGGUCAGUGCUCUGUGCUUAAACAAAGUAGGUCAAUGCCAAAGGGUGCAAUAUUGCUUUUGCAUGAAAUUACACACAGAACAUAUAAGAGCUUUAUGCCCAUUCUCGAUUAAUGCUGCAGGGAGCAGCUCCCUCCACAAUUAUGAGCAUUCCUUAUAAAAGUACAAAUGACAGCCGUGUCUAGAAGUGAACGACAGGACUGACGCUGGCUGUUGUCUUUGUUCGAUACUCAGGAGCGGUUCCCUCAUUCCUGGCAGCAGGCUCCUCCGUCCAGCCAUGUACAUCGCAGGGGACGACUGCCUCAAAGGGUGCGGUUCCCUCAUCCCUGGCAGCAGGCUCCUCCAUCCAGCCGUGUACACCGCAGGGGACGACUGCCUCGAAGGGAGCGGUUCCCUCAUUUCUGGCAGCAGGCUCCUUCUUCCAGUCAGGUACACCGCAGGGGACGAGUGCCUCGAAGGGUGCGGUUCCCUCAUUCCUGGAAGCAGCUGCUCCCCCGUCCAGUCAUGUACACCUCCCCUGGGUCCAAUAGGUCAAUCAAUUCCUGGUGCUCCCCUUCUUCGUCAUCGGUUGCCCAGAUUCGUCGCCAGAAAGUAAUCGCCUGAUCAACAUCAAUGUUCUCGUCCAUCUCCUUCUGGUCUUCGUCAAGUUUCCGGCAGAAGGCAGACCGAUCGAGCUCGAACAGCGUGUUCGUUUUCCGAUACUCAAUCCGGUUUGCCGCAGUGAUCGGUUUUUUGUGAAAAACUGCCCUUUCCUCUUCGAUCUGGUCCUCAAGCUUCUUCAACUGGUCCUUGUUGUUAGAGUGGUACUGGUUGGCUUUGCAAAUUUGUUUUAAUGCUCUCAAGGGAGCCUUGUUCUGUUUGACUGGUGACAAUUUACAGCUGUUGACUAAGCUCCUUGAUCUUUAUUUUAAUGGCCUCCUUCCAGUUCAACUUCCUUUUGUCACCUCCUCAUAUGUCAGCUGGCAAGCGCAGAUCAAAUCAUUCAGCUCUGCUAGAAUAUUCACCUUCUUUUCCAGCUCAAUCCCGAUGACCUGAUAGUUUAUUUCCUGACUGUA